rnacentral:snoRNA from 1 species
GCUGGUAUAGUGAUGAGUUCGCACUUUUUGCCGUUUACCCAUCAGACAAUAACAUGGUGAAUCUGUGACUACUGAAAUAACAGC